rnacentral:rRNA from 1 species
CAGGCCUAACACAUGCAAGUCGAACGGAUCCUUCGGGAUUAGUGGCAGACGGGUGAGUAACGCGUGGGAAGCUACCUUGUGGUAGGGAACAACAGUUGGAAACGACUGCUAAUACCCUAUGAGCCCUAUGGGGGAAAGAUUUAUCGCCAUGAGAUGUGCCCGCGUUAGAUUAGCUAGUUGGUAAGGUAAUGGCUUACCAAGGCGACGAUCUAUAGCUGGUCUGAGAGGAUGAUCAGCCACACUGGGACUGAGACACGGCCCAGACUCCUACGGGAGGCAGCAGUGGGGAAUAUUGGACAAUGGGGGCAACCCUGAUCCAGCCAUGCCGCGUGAGUGAUGACGGCCUUAGGGUUGUAAAGCUCUUUCAGCAGUGAAGAUAAUGACAUUAACUGCAGAAGAAGCCCCGGCUAACUUCGUGCCAGCAGCCGCGGUAAUACGAAGGGGGCUAGCGUUGUUCGGAAUCACUGGGCGUAAAGCGUACGUAGGCGGACUGAUCAGUCAGGGGUGAAAUCCCGGGGCUCAACCCCGGAACUGCCUUUGAUACUGUCAGUCUUGAGAUCGAGAGAGGUGAGUGGAACUCCGAGUGUAGAGGUGAAAUUCGUAGAUAUUCGGAAGAACACCA